CCCCUGGACUCUACAUGUUCUCCCUGCCCAUCCUACUGUCACUGCCCUUCUAAUACUGUCCACUCUGCCCACUGAAGCCUCUACUCCACAGUAAAUAAGCUCUCCCCUUGGUCUUCAGCCUUUCCUAGAUCUCCCUUAGCUGUAUGACUGAAAUGAAAUCAGAACUCCCUGAAAUGUGUGAUGGGGAUAAGCUGGAAACAAUGUCUAACUUCUCAUGCCUAUGUGCCUACUCUGUUCUACUCUAGUGUAAAAACAUUGUGGUGUUUUUCCUUUUGUUUUGUAGAGACAGGAUCUCAUUUGAUCACCCAGGCUGGAGAAUGCAGUGGUACGAUCACAGCUCAUUGUAACCUGGAACUCCUGGGCUCAAACACUUCUCCCGCCUCAGUCUCCCACGUGAGUUUACAGGCUAGUUCACAAUACAGUUGCAAAGUUCUGUAUCUAAGUAGCAUUAUUGUCAUUUUAUAAUGGUGGAACUUGGGGACAGGCAGUAGAUCAAAGUUCAGAAUCUUGGGCUUUGUUUUCUUCCGUCCCUUAUACAGAGGUUGCUUAGCACAGAUACUGAACUCUUAACUGAGAUGAGUUAUUACCAUCAUUUUUAAUCUGUUUCUUCACAGUCUGCUUUUUGUCUGGAUUCUGUCAUACAGCAUAACAAAGAAGCAGAUCCCUAAUGAAUUCAGAGCCGGCCAGUUAGUUCCUGGAUACGUAGCAGGUCCUUGUUAAUCCAGUUAGGUAUAGCAGGUUACUCAUUCUUCUCAUUUCUGCCCUUUACCUUGCCCUCCACUAAGAUUUCUAAUUUUAUUGCAGAAAGAUCUACCUUUUAGCAAUGAAGAAAUCAUUGUUAUUAUUUUUAAAAAGCAAUAGCAGUGAGAGUAAUUCUAGGCAAAGUGUUACAGAAAAAGUAAACAGCAUGAGAUGGCAGUUCUACGAUUCCCUACAAGACCAUCUGUUUUCCCAAUGAAAAAUCUAGUGCUUCCUCGAGUUAUGUUUUAAAAGGUUUAAGCAAUCAUUCAGAUAAUCAGACUUCAUUGCUGUGAAAUUUCAUCAAAGUGUACUCAAUCCUUGAACUCAUAUCUGGGUCCAUUUUGCCAAUCAGAUAAAACUUCCUAGGCUUUUUCCUAGAGGCAUGAGUGGUUAACUUGAUCUUAUUGCACUGCAAAAGAUUUUAUGCUACACAUCAUUUUUCAUAAAAGCUAUUUGUUGUGUUAGGAGAACUCCAGAGAGACUGCUUGUUAGAAUAGAUUUUGGGGGUGACGGUGGGCCAGAACUUGCUCUGUUUUGUUGCUUUGGACCAAGUGAUAAUUCUUAGAAAUUCUUACAGGUUAACCUCAGAGGAAAUGAGGAGGCAAAAGGGUGAAACAGAGGAAAUUAGCGUCUUAGUAGUUAUUUCUCAUGAACAGACCAAUAAUUAUUUAAACAAACAAAGAAACAAAAACCAAGUAAAUCCUUAAUUUGGAAGCACUGCAUGUCUUUGUUUUAAGAUUGUCACUUGCUUCUUCUUUUAGUUGGCAUAGGGGUUAAAGGCACCUGACUCCUUUCUUUUUUUUCUUUGUAAAGGUCAGCCAACGCAUACCCACUCUUGUCCACACCAGCACAAACAGCCUUUGCAUUGAAAAAGCACUAGGUGGUGCCCAUUUUCUUUGCCGGUGAAAGGGCUGGAUUUCCCCAAAGGGAGUCACUCUGGGGAAGUUCAUCAGGCCCCAGCCCACACAGCACAGUGCACUUUUCUCCUCUCACAGAUGACCAGGAGCGUAGUGUCACAGUCUGUCCCUUCUCUGAGGCAUCCUGGGGCUUGCCUGUUUUAGGACAGAGCUUUGAUUCGGGAAGACAGUGUUUUUACAUGUGAGGGUAGGAGUGGAGUAGGGGGUGGUGGCCAAAAGCUUCGAGUAUUCCCUUUGAAAAUGAAAGAUAAGAGGAAUAAAGGCUGCAACCCUGCCAUCUGCGUUUGUAAAAAGUCAUAGUAUAUCUCUGCCAAGGCUUUCCUCCUGCCAGAUCAUCUGGACAAUCCAGUGCACAUGCUAAUUUUAUUUUUUUCCCCUUUUGCCUGUAGUCAAACUGUGAAAAUAAUAAAAGAAAAUGAAGGUUAAUCUUAAAUUUCAAUUUGUUUUUUCACCAAAAUAAUUCUUUGUCAAAUAAAGUAUGGCUAAAUUGAAGAUUUUGCAUGCCCAUGUCUCCCCCAAAUACCUACCGUUUGAAGACAUGGCUUUAUACUACUGAGUUCUUUCCUUUAAAAAAAUCUUAUUAGGCACGCUUAACAGAUUGUUGCUUUGUGUUCAAGGAGAGCAGAUAACUGGCUAAGAAGAUUUUUUUUCCAGAAUAAUUUUAUUCAGGUGAUAUGCCCAUCAGAUCUGUUUUAGAAUGUAGAACUGUUUACCAAGUUUUUGUUCUUGUAAAGAUCUGGGAACAGCAAUUGAGCAUAAUCAUGCUAUUGUCAUAAAAAAGAAAGAAGAAAAGAACAUAACAAUUUCUUUUUUCUAGUAGACAUAUGUCUUGUCUAUCUAUAACCUAUUCCUUGAAAUUUGGCCAAGUAGAGUUAGUUUGUUCAAAUGUAUUUAUUUUGUUUUAGAGAAGGCAAUAAAAUUGUUUUUUUAGAAAGUCAAAAAAGUAGAUUCUUGUAGUAAAAUCUGAAUCUUUCUUCACAGGUUGGUGAACCAUACUCCAAUAGAAAGGGGAAAUAUGACUGUGAAUAGUUUGAAAAAGUUGAACUAAGAGAAAAGCUUUAUUAUGAAACUAUGAGGAUUAUUUCUGUGCACUGGCUGCCCCGUCAUAUGUCAUGGCAUGUGGCGGGUUGACUGCUCAUUAAUUCUAUUUAUAUCAGUAUGAUAAUCCACCCCACUGAGUGCACAUG
ensembl:lncRNA